rnacentral:rRNA from 1 species
GGAGGGGGGGCGAGCGUUAUUCGGAUUUACUGGGCGUAAAGCGCACGUAGGCGGGCUAGGUAUGUCAAAGGGUGAAAGCCCUCGACUCAACCGAGGAACUGCCUUUGAAACUGCUUGGCUUGAGUCCGGGAGAGGGGAGCGGAAUUCCCAGUGUAGCGGUGAAAUGCGUAGAUAUCAGGAAGAACACCAGUGGCGAAGGCGGCUCUCUGGCCUGUUACUGACGCUGAGGCGCGAAAGCCGGGGGAGCGAACAGGAUUAGAUACCCUGGUAGUCCCGGCCGUAAACGUUGGGCACUAGGUGCAGCGGGUGUCGACCCCUGCUGUGCCGAAGCUAACGCAUUAAGUGCCCCGCCUGGGGAGUACGGUCGCAAAGGCUG